rnacentral:lncRNA from 1 species
UGUACCAUUUAUCACCAAAUUUAUCUCAUAACCUAAGAGCUACCACUUACAAAUUUGAAGGGAAAAAUUACUACAUUGUAAUACUCAAGCCAACACAAAGAAUCCUAUCCCAGUUUCUUGAGUGGAUGGGCAAGAAUAUGGGGAAUUUAUUAUGCAGUAACCUUCAUCUCUCUUCUAUAGGUCAGGAUUUAAGUUUACCUCAAAAAUGGAAGAUUUUAACAUGGAGAGUGACAGCUUUGAAGAUUUCUGG